rnacentral:rRNA from 1 species
AAUGGGCGAAAGCCUGAUCCAGCCAUGCCGCGUGUGUGAAGAAGGCCUUAGGGUUGUAAAGCACUUUCAGUGGGGAGAAAGGUAAUUCACCUAAUACGUGAGUUAAUUGAUGUUACCCACAGAAGAAGCACCGGCUAACUCCGUGCCAGCAGCCGCGGUAAUACGGAGGGUGCAAGCGUUAAUCGGAAUUACUGGGCGUAAAGCGCACGUAGGUGGUUUGUUAAGUCAGCUGUGAAAUCCCCGGGCUCAACCUGGGCACUGCAGUUGAAACUGGCAAGCUAGAGUAGGGUAGAGGGGUGUGGAAUUCCAGGUGUAGCGGUGAAAUGCGUAGAUAUCUGGAGGAACAUCAGUGGCGAAGGCGACACCCUGGACUCAUACUGACACUGAGGUGCGAAAGCGUGGGGAGCAAA